rnacentral:lncRNA from 1 species
AAUUUAUGGUGUUCUAAAUCACAACACAUUUACGGCUUGCAAAACCACAUCACAUUUACAGGUUGCCAAACUAUAGCAUACUUUAUGACCACGGUCGUGCCAACCACAGUGAUCCUAUAUGUAACCUAUAACUACAGUCGUACGUUGUCACAGUAGCCCUACAAAUCAUAUCGUGUAACCACUCUCGUCAGAGGGUACAUCAUUAUCAACAAGGAACGGUCAUCAGAUGCCUUUUCAGAUCAAAAGGGGGCGAAAUAGAACUCCUAAGAGAUAAUAGCCUAACAGAUUAUAUCAUUGUAAACGCCCUGCAUAAAUAUUAUGGUGUUAGGCCUACAUGUCCAUUUUCAUAAAAUAUUCAUGCAUCUUAAUGCAAAAAUCAUGAUAUCUCAAGCAUAACUAAUAUUCCAUCGUAGCCAUAUCGUUUAACAGUUUAAUUUUCAAACUUAAAAUUUACUAAAACAUGCAAUUACUAUUUCUCGUCAAUCAUGCAAUCUUUCAAAUUAAUUUUUGUAGAAAUACUCUUUAGAAUAUAUGAGAAAAUACCAAUAUUUUCCUUAUAGAAAGUUUGAAGAGUUCUAAGGUUCUUCUUCUUUCCUUUAUUUCUUUCUCAAUUUCUUUCUCUCUCUCUCUAGGAAACUC